rnacentral:rRNA from 1 species
GUGGGGAAUAUUGGACAAUGGGCGAAAGCCUGAUCCAGCCAUGCCGCGUGUGUGAAGAAGGUCUUCGGAUUGUAAAGCACUUUAAGUUGGGAGGAAGGGCAGUAAGUUAAUACCUUGCUGUUUUGACGUUACCGACAGAAUAAGCACCGGCUAACUUCGUGCCAGCAGCCGCGGUAAUACGAAGGGUGCAAGCGUUAAUCGGAAUUACUGGGCGUAAAGCGCGCGUAGGUGGUUUUGUAAGUUGGAGGUGAAAUCCCCGGGCUCAACCUGGGAACUGCCUCCAAAACUGCAUGACUAGAGUACGGUAGAGGGUAGUGGAAUUUCCUGUGUAGCGGUGAAAUGCGUAGAUAUAAGAAGGAACACCAGUGGCGAAGGCGACUACCUGGACUGAUACUGACACUGAGGUGCGAAAGCGUGGGGAGCAAACAGGAUUAGAAACCCUAGUAGUCC